rnacentral:rRNA from 1 species
AUUGCAGGCUGCAACUCGCCUGCAUGGAGCUGGAAUUGCUAGUAAUCGCGAAUCAGAAUGUCGCGGUGAAUACGUUCCCGGGCCUUGUACACACCGCCCGUCACACCAUGAGAGUCGAUAACACCCGAAGCCUGUGAGCUAACCGUAAGGAGGCAGCAGUCGAAGGUGGGGUUGAUGAUUGGGGUGAAGUCGUAACAAGGUAAC